CGCAAUGGGCGAAAGCCUGACGGAGCAAUACCGCGUGAGGGAUGAAAGCCUGUGGGUUGUAAACCUCUUUUCUCAAGGAAGAAGUUCUGACGGUACUUGAGGAAUAAGCAUCGGCUAACUCUGUGCCAGCAGCCGCGGUAAUACAGAGGAUGCAAGCGUUAUCCGGAAUCACUGGGCAUAAAGCGUCUGUAGGUUGCCUACCAAGUCUGCUGUUAAAGAUCAGGGCCUAACCCUGGGAAAGCAGUGGAAACUAGUAGGCUUGAGUGUGGUAGAGGUAGAGGGAAUUCCUGGUGUAGCGGUGAAAUGCGUAGAUAUUAGGAAGAACACCAAAGGAGAAAGCACUAUACCGCAGCAUUUCAGCCCUCGAGCGGUAUUGGUCC
rnacentral:rRNA from 1 species